rnacentral:rRNA from 1 species
UACGGGGGGGGCAAGCGUUGUUCGGAAUUACUGGGCGUAAAGGGCUCGUAGGUGGCCAACUAAGUCGGACGUGAAAUCCCUCGGCUUAACCGGGGAACUGCUUCCGAUACUGGUUGGCUUGAGUUUGGGAGAGGGAUGCGGAAUUCCAGGUGUAGCGGUGAAAUUCGUAGAUAUCGGGAGGAACACCAGUGGCGAAGGCGGCGAUCUGGGAAGAUACUGACGCUGAGGUGCGAAAGCGUGGGGAGCAAACAGG